UUUACAUCCAUUCUCUCCUGCUUCAUGGCCAAUAGCAGGUAACUAUAGUCCAAACUAUUCAAUAGAACCCAAUAUUGGAAAGCUUGACGAAGAUAGGUAAUUCUUUUCUUUUGUUUCAAAUCAGUUUUACAACAAGAAGUAAUACACUGGCAUGUGUAUCAUUGUGACCUCGAAGCAGAACAAACUCAAUCUACCCUUUUCUUUCUAUACUGUCUGCAAACUACUGCUCUCCUGUGUUACUGUGAUUCUGGAAAGCACUGCAGGAAGCUCAAGCAUGAUGAGAUGUUUCUUUUCCACAUGGAAGGAAAAUGCUGACUGAUUAGCAUAAGAGGAAAAUAUAUCACCUGCGAAUUUAUGACAGUACCUAUUUUGGCAGUACCCACAUACAAUUAUGCAGCAGAACCUGGACUGUGUAUGCAACAGAAUCUGCAGGUGAAGUUCCAUCUCCUUUGUUCCCCACCACAGCUAAGGAUACACCUAACCAUGUUGCAAUUGCACGUAAGUGCUCAGGGACAAAGAAAAAGCCCUGCUUCUUCAUCAGUUGCUCAAUACCAUUUGAAAUUAGCUAAAAUGAACAGAAGGCAUGGAAAGGGAAGUGCAUUUGCAAGCCACUUUGUUGUAUAUUGGUGUUGUUAGAGGAUAUAAUGAAUAUCUUCUUUUUUUUUUAAAGUAUGCUAGUUAUAGGAGGGAUUUCCCCAGCAUGUGCUAUGAAUAGGAUGCCAACUAUUGCUUAAAACUGCAUCUAACACUUCAUACUACGGCCUACAUUGGAUCAAUUCCUAUAGACAUUCUGCAAGGCAAAUGUGCCCCUGGGAAAUUAAAAUGUUUCUUUGUAAGUUACUGGGGAUUUGUAAAAUAAGAACAUGAGUAAUCAACAAUACAUAUCUCCCCACCUCCCUGUGUUAUACUCAACUGAUUGCUAUUACAGGUAAUUAAGAAAAGAAAGCAAAACAAUAAUGUGAACUUUUGAACUAAUUCUGCCAAACUUGUUAAGAACAUUCUGUUAUAUGAAAUUAUUUAAGAUAGUGUUCUGCUCCUUUGUUGUUUCUGGGGAGAAUCACUCACAAUGACAUAUAUAAAUAUUAUGGCAAGUAGGGAUUUGGAACUACUUAUAUAUACAGCAAGAUUCUACCAUCAUUCCUGCAGAUAGUGGUGGUGUUUAUGUGAUAGUUCUUAAUGUCUCUCAUGAGUAAAAAUGUUGAUUGAGUCUGGAGAGAAUUUUAUUGAUUUAUGCAACUAUUCAUAGGACCUGGUUUGUGUGAGAGCUAACAUGACAG
rnacentral:lncRNA from 11 species